rnacentral:tRNA from 1 species
GGCUUCGUAGUUCAGCUGGUAGAGUGCUUGCCGCGUUGAGGCAUGGUGUUUCUGUUGUUGAUUCAAAUCCAGCCGAAGCCC